rnacentral:lncRNA from 1 species
AAAGUCAUAUAAAACCUCAAAUUAAAAAAAAAAUGAUGCAUUGUUUUUUUUUUGUAAAAAAAUGGAUAGUUGUCAUCAUUAAACUUCCAGGAAGCAAUUCGUUGACAUAUUUUCUGCAUUCAAAGUGACCUUAACGUGACCCUUUUUGUAAAAAUCCGGUGAUCGCAAUAUGCAAGAAUCUUAUCUGAUUGUACAUGUUAUACACAUACUCAAUAUACAUGCUUCUUUGUUUAUUGUUUACUAUAAGGUGAUGAUAAUACGAUGUUUGCGUAAAAAAUGAUAAAAUUGUGCACAGAAGACUUAGUUUAUGAUAUAUAUGUUACAGUAAAUAGGUGAAAUUAGGAAUUACAUGUAAUUACUAAAAUUUAGGAAUUACAUGUAAUUCCCGAUGCACUUAGUAAAUACAAGUAAUUCCUAGAACUGCCCAGUAAUUACCAGUAAUUACUGAUUUUAAAAUGAAUUUUUACACCUAUUUACUAACUGUUAAAACAAUGUUGUAAUAUGGUCAACUGAUCAAAAGUUAUGGUAAUACUAAUAAGAAAAUCAGUGAGUAUUCAGCUAUCAAAAUUUUAAGGGUUUUGCAGAACCCAGUGUCUCGCCUACUUUUGCUGUGAGUCGCAGGCCCAACAAAAAUAGGAAAAAAAAAUAUUUAUAAUUUUCCUCUAGAUACUAUCUUUUGACUAGUUCUGUCUAUCAAAAUUUGUUAAAAAUUCAGGAUGGUUUAUGAAAUCUAAACUUUAACUGCAGAGUGUAUGUAAUGUUAACUGGAAAAAAAUAGUCCGUUUAAAUAAGUAAUAUACGAAAAAGCAUUGUUAUUUUUACAAACUUUAUUUCUAGAUACUAUCUUAUGAUCAUAAACAAGCUUUUGUCCAAUUUUGGUAGAAAUCCAGGAUAUUUUGAGAAACUUAUUAAAAUUUAAAAAAAUUUAACCACAGUGUGAAAUGUUAACUGGCAUAAAAACUAAGUCCCUUUAUAAGUAAAAUACGGAAAAACUUGUGAAUUGAUUUUAUUUUUACAAAUUUACUUCUUGAAAUUUAUCUUUUGAUCAUAAACAACUGAAGCUUCUGUUCAAGUUUGGUAGAAAUCCAGGAUAAUUUAAAAAAUAUAACCACAGAGCGAAUAUUUGUGGACGCCGCUGGCGACGGAAUUAUUAGGUUGGUUCGCUAUGUCUCGUUUUUGCGACAAAAAACGCAGGCUCGAAAAAAAAGGAAAAGAAUGUCAACAUUGAAAGUAAAACAAAAGGGAUGGACCAUUUGUUGUAUAGUGUGGAGUAGUUGUAGCAGUGAGGGUUUAAAAAGGAUAUUAAAAUUACAAAAGAGGGCUGCUAGAUUAAUACUAGAAACAGACCCAUUCGCUCCUUCUGCACCCUUAUUCAAACAUUUAAACUGGAUGACAGUUGAACAAAGAAUAAAAUAUCACAAGUUAGUGAUGACAUUUAAGUGCAUUAAAAAUGAUGCCCCAUCAUAUCUUACUAACAAGUUUCAUUAUGUUUCAGACAGAAAUCCAUACCCCUUGAGAAAUGCUGUUCAAGGAAACCUCAUACUCCCUAAACCAAAAACAGAAUUGUUCAAAAAAUCUUUUAUGUUUCUGACCAUUCUUGUGGAAUAUUUGCCAAUACCGUUAAGAAAUAUUACAAAAUGUAAUUCUUUCAAAUACAAAAUAACAGAUCAUUUAUUGAAAUCAAUCUAGCUAUAUCAAUAAUAUUAAAAACUGAUCAUGUCAUCAUGUUUACUUUUUUUUUUCAUCACAUUUUAUCAAGUUGUAUUAAACAUUAUUAUCAUACUUGACUUUUUAUACUAAUGUAUGCAAUGUAUAUGUUUGCAUUUUGUUUGAUUUCUCAUGAUGAGGGCCUCAGGGAAGAUUAGUUAUAUAGCUAACUGUGUAACCCUCUUAAAAUAAAGUAUUGUUGUUGUUGUUGUUGUUGUUAUUUAGUUGACUUUUUCAAUCCACAAAAAGAUCAUUCUUAUACAGAAAGAAACGAUGAUAAAAUUUUGUUGGAGGUAUAUAAGUUUACGUUUGGAGGUCUUGAAGAACUCAUAAAAACACGGAAAUAUGAAAAUGUGACUCUUAACGCCAUCAAUUUGUAUAAAUUUGUUUGUGAAGAAUGUCAGCUUCAUCGCAAAUGUCUGACAAAAGAAGUCGUAGUUAAACUUAUUUUGUAAAAGGAAUUUAACUCAUGUUAUUGGCCAAGUUGAUAUGCAGAGUAUGCCUGAUGGAGAUUUUAAUAUAACAAAAUUAUGAGAUUUUAAGAAUUAUCAAGAUCAUUUAACCAAGUUUGCCAUAAUAUAAUGUCUAUCUUAAAAUAUAGAUGGUUAAGUUGCCUAUAAAUUUCUCAAAAAUGUUUUUCUCAAUAUUGGAUUGAUAUCAUUGUCUUGCAUGCUCAAAAUGAUUUUUAGGAGUUUCAAAACUUAUAAAACAACCAUUUUCCAGUUUCAAUUCACAAACACUGAAGAGUAUGCACUUUUAAUGUGCCUUAUACUCCUUGAUACUUAAGUAAGCCCUAAAAAUCCCUACCCCUUACUUUCUUAUUUGAUAUCUUGAAUUAUGCCUUUAAUUUUUAAACAAAAAUAUCAAGUUAGUAAAUAGCUGUAAAAAUGACCAAAAAAAUCAGUAAAUACCUGUAAUCACUGAAACAACUAGUAAAUACAUGUAAUUACUAAAUUGACUAGUGAUUACAGGUAUUUACUGAAAUGUUUAGUAAUUACGUGUAAUUCCUAAUUUCACCUAUUUACUGUAACAUAUACAUGCAUUAGUUCAAGAAUUGGAUAAAGAUUAUUUUUCACCAGUCACUCGUUUCAUAUGACUUUAAAUUUGUGCAUUUUGUUUUUUCAAAUAACUCAUAUCUAUCAAAUGUCCAUGAAUGUAGAAAAAAAA